GACGAACGCUGGCGGCGUGCCUAAUACAUGCAAGUCGAGCGCAGGAAAUCAUCCGAACCUUUCGGGGGGACGUUGAUGGAAUGAGCGGCGGACGGGUGAGUAACACGUAAAGAACCUGCCCUCAGGUCUGGGAUAACCACGAGAAAUCGGGGCUAAUACCGGAUGGGUCAUCGGACCGCAUGGUCCGAGGAUGAAAGGCGCUUCGGCGUCGCCUGGGGAUGGCUUUGCGGUGCAUUAGCUAGUUGGUGGGGUAAUGGCCCACCAAGGCGACGAGGCAGAGCCGACCUGAGAGGGUGAGCGGCCACACUGGGACUGGGGCACGGCCCAGACUCCUACGGGAGGCAGCAGUAGGGAAUCUUCCACAAUGGACGAAAGUCUGAUGGAGCAACGCCGCGUGAACGAUGAAGGCCUUCGGGUCGUAAAGUUCUGUUGUAAGGGAAGAACAAGUGCCGUAGGCAAUGGCGGCACCUUGACGGUACCUUGCGAGAAAGCCACGGCUAACUACGUGCCAGCCGCCGCGGUAA
rnacentral:rRNA from 1 species